rnacentral:sRNA from 1 species
AGGAGGAGCAAGGCACCCCGCCAGCCGAAAGUAUCAAGGAGGAACUGCAAGGCAGGUGCCAGGAGCAGCGAGGAUGCCCCAUUACCGAGAUCUGCAGGUUGGAGCGUAUAUCAACCGGUAGCCACAAGAUGGCAGUGUUUCCUAAUUGAUGGGAAAGUAUCUGCCUAGAAAGGGAAGAAACAGCUCAGAAGUCUGAAACUGGAGUGCGUAAGACAGCCUUUCAUCAGCACACCCCACCAUUCAAGGCGAGUCAGGUUACCUCCCUGUCCCACACUCCCACCCCAGGGAAUCAACUUCCUCCCUCCUCAGCAAGUCUACCCUUUUCUCAGUUCUAGGUUUUAGCGUAAAUGGUUUUUCUGCUGAGAUGUCCUACAACAGAAGACCAUGAAGGUUUGAGGCCCUGCCACAUACACCUUAGGAAAGUGGACUUACUGGUUCACCAGCCAGGAGCUGUCUGUGAAAGCCACCGCGGUGGUGGCACCUGCAGGUACUCGGCCAUGAGGGAGGCAGGUUACAACUGGCUGGUUUCCUGAGAAGGUCAGUAAGGACUCUGCUCCCUGUAAGUGGAACCCGGCGGCCGAAUGGCUCUCUCCGCAGUGAAGUAGAAAUAUAGCCAGAGAGGAGAAACUAUUUCUGGGUUGUACCAAAUAAUGCUGUGUACUUUGGCAGAAUGGGAAAUCCAGAGCCUAGGGGGAUUGGUUGCGAAAGGGCAUGCUCCUUGUCUUCCUCGUGCUCUUAGCCAGAGUCCUGUGUUGUUCAUGGAGGUAACGAACAUUGGAAAAACGGACCCCCAACAAGACUUCCUGAGCUUGACGUUCCCUUAGCUAUCUGAAUGCAAACAAGUGUCUGUUUCCUUGUUUUUAAAAUGGUUAUAAUAAUAGUUACCUGAUAGGGCUGUUGUGAGGAUCAAAUCCGUCACGGUGUAUGCAUGUGUAAGUAAGAGACUUAGAACAGUGUCUGAAUAGGAUACAUAAUAGCCCCCACAGUCACCAUUGUAGCUCAGGGCGACUGGACUGGACUCUACAGCACUGCUUCCCUUUGCCAGGCGCCCACUGCAGACUCAAACCUGAUCCAGCAAACGCAAGGUCAAGGAAACACAUGGAUCCCGCCCAGUAGCCUUAUGGCCCAAUGGCUGUCUGCAGAUGGUGGAGAGCUAUGCCUCCCCUGUGACUCACCUACAGGAGUUUGCCAGAGGCUCCAAAUGGCAUCCCCAUCUGCCACUGACACCCCAAGUACCAUCAAGUCUGCUGGAUUUCGUGGUCCAAGUGGUAGAGCAGCCUGGACCUGCUGAAGAGCCUUCUCCUGUUCCAGGCCCCACAUAAAGCUAGCAGCGUUCUGAGUCACUCAGUAUAGGGGCUGGCAUAGCACACCCAAGUGAGGAAUGUGCUGUCUCCAGGAUCCAAAUUGACCCACUGAACAUUAUGCUUCUCUCUUGGUAGUAGAAGAGGCCAAAUUUAAAAAAAAAAAAAAAACCUUAUCCUUCACCUUAGAGGGAAUAUCUCUGCGUGCCCCACACCACUGGACUACUGAAGAUUUUACUGAGGUAGAAGACCCUUGAAUUUUGGUUGGAUUUAUUUCCCAUCCUCUGAUUAGUGUGUGUGUUACCAAAGAGUUCAAGUGGUUGCGACUUCCUGCUAACUUUGUUCAAUCAUCGUAAUGUUGUCAAUGGAGUGGACUGGAGUGACAGUUUAUGGAAGAAAAACAUGUGAUCAAGCUCACUUCAAAUUAAGUUACGAUACAUGGCUGGAGAGCCACCUUACCUUGAGGUGUAAGGUGCUCUUGUCAGGUGAAAGUGACUUGUCUCUGGUGGCCCUCGUGUGCAUGUGCUAAGAAGGAAGUGUCUCCUAGGCCAACCACUGCAUACCAGUGCUAGGAGAUGUGUCAGUAUGCUCAAAGGAGGACACCAUAUCUAACAGCAAUUAUAAUUGGAGUCACUAUUUGAUUAGGUUUGUGACAGUCAACUCCUGUUCUCCUUCACCCUUUUGUCUUCUGCACAAAAUAGAAGAGUUAAAGAGAGUUUGAUAAGAGCCACUACCUCUGCGUCUUUCAUGUCCUUGAUGGUGGCACUAAUGUCUGUCAUGCCUUCAGGGGUGCCAUUGAUUUUAGCUUGUUUUUGCAGUGCUGGGGGUGAAGCCGGAGACCCAUGCAUUUAAAGCAAGCACUUUACCAACUGAUCUUCAUCUCCAACCUACAGGAUUUCCAUUACAUAUACAUAUGUAUAAAUACAUACAUUUAUUCUGUUCCUGCAGACACCCCUCUUUGAUCCAGAGACUUUUGCCUUUAUCAUUUUGCUGGCUUUGUUAUUCUUGUGUUGCCACGCGUGUGAGAACAUGCUGACUGGCUUCUCUUGACUCUGAAACCGAAAGAGGACUCAAAAUACGUUUUAUUCAUUUUUUUAUACAAGAUGUUUAUAAAGUGGUAGUAUACACCUAUAAUCCGAGCACUUGGGUGGCCAGGACAGAGGGAUCACAGGUUCAAGGCCAGCCUGAGCUACAUGAAUAGUUCCAGGUCAGCUGUACUGCUGUGGAACAGUGCCCUUCAGGGAUGACAUGGCCACUGCCAUCUUAACACCAAAGCAGCUGUGACUACCUGGGUGAGGUGUGCACUAACAUUUCCUCACGGAAGUGGGGUGGAGACACACGGGGAAAUCACCUGGAGGCACACAGGUGGUCUAUGUGGUACUCAUAAGCCUCAUAACUUCCUGAAGAUAUGCAAACGUUGAGUCAUUGCUAUAGAGAAAGAUUCCUUACUGGUUUAGAUGUCAAUAAGUCGCCCUGCUACCCCUUCAGGAUUUGGUUGGUUUUCACGGGGCAGAGGACGAAGCCCAAGUUUUCUUAAAUUCUUCCUCAGCCAUGCUUCUGUAAGUAACAGAAUUAAACUCAUUGACUCACCAA